AUGUGGUUUAAUUCGACGCAACGCGAAGAACCUUACCUAGGUUUGACAUGCCGACGAGUAGGAAACCGAAAGGGGACCGACCGGUUCAGUCCGGAAGCGGUACAGGUGCUGCAUGGCUGUCGUCAGCUCGUGCCGUGAGGUGUUGGGUUCAGUCCCGCAACGAGCGCAACCCUCGCCCUUUGUUGCCAUCGGGUAAAGCCGGGCACUCUAAGGGGACUGCCAGCGAUAAGUUGGAGGAAGGAGAGGAUGACGUCAAGUCAUCAUGGCCCUUAUGUCUAGGGCAACACACGUGCAACAAUGGCCGGUACAGACGGAAGCAAAGCCGAGAGGUGGAGCAAACCCGAGAAAGCCGGUCUCAGUUCGGAUUGAGGUC
rnacentral:rRNA from 1 species